UUGAUCUUCAGUGGCGCGCCUCAUAAACUCUUACUCUACAAUGUCAAUACUCUGAUAAUUUCGCUCUCUCGGCUGAUCUUACUCUCGCUCUCCUCUCUUUUCUCUUCACAAUUCCAUCAAAUUGUUUACUCAUGUAGUUCAAUCAAUUAGUUCAAGUCUUUUAUUUCAUUAAUUAGUUCAAUGAUGAAAUUCCAUUUGUUCAAUUGCUCCAAUUCCAUUUUCGUUCACUAUUGGAACGAACAAACAAAAAAUUUUUGCUCUCCUCUUAUUUCAACCAUCAUUAGGCAUUGUUGAUGAAGAUAUGUUUUCACAAAUUACAAUUAUUCUGAAGAGAAAAUUUGAACAUCCAAUUCAUGAACAUUUGGGUAAUUUCAAGCAUUCAAAAUUAUAUUUCUAGAUUUUCUAGGUUUUUGUUUAAUUGCUCUUUUUUUAGAAUUUCAAGCAUUGAAGAUUAUAUAUGUGUCAUUAAUAAUUAUUGACAGGAUUUGUCGAUUGUUGGUAGUAAAUUUGUUUCUGUUGUUGUUAGUAGAUUUGCCAGAAAUCUGGUUCUAGAUUUCAUUCGAAUAAUGGGUUUUUAUGAUUCAAAUUUAGAUGGAAAUAGGAUGUAAAUUUCAUUUAAAAUGUCCAAUUGGUGUGAAUAUGGUGUGCACUAGUAAAAGCAAGGAACUGAUUGGGAAUUGUAUUCAAGAGUUUGUAAGCCUCGUUGUGGGCUUGUGGCUGUUUAUAAUAUGUUAAUCACACACAAUCUGUUCGAUGAAAUGUUUCAAAGGGAUAUUGAUAGUGAUCUUCACUAAGUAGUAAGAACUAAGAAGGAUUGAUUGUAAUCUUCAUUAAUUAGUAAAAUUCCAUGGAACUAAAAUCCUCGAUCUGAGCUAAUAAAGAUAACUCAUACCUAAUAGCCAAAAUUAUGUGUUCUCAUUUCUUUUCAGAGCUACUGCAUAGUAUAGAAAUAAACAUUCUAUAUAUAAUUGUGCAGUUUUCUAUAUCUUCCUAAACCCGAGAGCGAGACGUGGUAUCGUCAGUCCACAUUGUCUAGGCUGAGAUGUUGAGGGUUUUCCAUCUGUCAGUAAGCAUGUAAUAACCUGCUGUUGCUGCUGCUUUGACUUCCUCAUGACAACGUGAACUUAAUUUAUUAGCUGAUUCUGCAUUAUUUAACUUCAUUAAUUUAUUAGGGGCAAUGUACUUACUGGUUACAGCAAGUUUUGCAAGUAGGAAUAGCUUUUGGUUAUGGUAUUAUGUUUUUUUCAUUAGGUGGGGUAGAGUGCAAAUCAAAAACUAUUGCCCAGGUAUGACUUUUAGGUUACAAUAAUGUUUUUUCUCAAAGUCUUUUUUCACAGGUAUGAUUUAUGUUAUAGUUUCAUGUAUAGGAGCCUAACUUAACAAACUAUUGUUCAGGCUUUUGCUCAUUGACUCAGAAAUGUCAUAGAAAUUAGUUAAUAAAAUACAAAUCAUUGAUGGCCAUAAACAAGCUCUUGAGCAGCAAAAUUUGUCUUUUCAAUGAUCUGAGGGAUAUCGUCUUGUUAAUUCGAUGCUCACUCUAAAAACAUCUAUCCUUUAAGGGUUUUGGUAGGCAUUCCAUCAUAUCCUUCUACUUAUGUAAAUUUUUUAAUAGGAUGUUAGUUAUUUCUUUAAUUGUUCUAAGCUUCGCACUUUUGACCUGACUUUUGCUUAUGUGAACUUACUACAAAUUAUACUUUUAGGUUGCUUCCUUUCUUUGUUCUAAGCUUAUGUGAACUUACUACAAAUUAUACUCUCAACAUAAAGUUUUUUGGCCGAGGUGUAGAGAUGAUGCUGAUUAUUGGCUGAAAACAGAGAAAAUUGUUCCUAAUUGGUACCUUCAUGAGUUGCCUUGUCGUUUGCUAUUGAUGAGGGUGUUAUUUCAUGGUUGCCUUCCAUAGUCUGUAGUUGUAUAAAGAAUUUCCACUCCUUUUGCUCACAUAAUCUGAAUGUGGGUUUAUACUUUUUAACACCAAGUUUGUGUGACCACUUCAGUAUUUUGGUUUUGCCAUGAGAUCUGAACCGAAGCCUGCAUUGUGAUUGGUACUUGAACAAGUUCUGAACUUGUUCUUUCAUCGGUAUUUCUUGAAUAUUAUCAUGAAUGAGUGCUUGGUAAUUUCUGCCAGGCCCUUUCAAGCAAUGUUCACACCAUACAGACCCUUCUAAGAGCCUACUUACAGUACUCUUUCCAGUGGCAGACCAGUCUGUUGUAUUUUAUUCAAGGCUUUUGUAAUUUCUGCGUAUGUCUGUCUGUAUUAUAUGGACCUUAUUAGUUGCUUGUAGAGUAUACAUGCUGGUAGCUUGGUGCGGAUUAAUUCACGAAGAAUAGUAAAUCCACUUUGUAUUAUUGUUUCUGAUAUCUAAUGAUUUUUUUUUUCAAUCUUUCAUUAUUUUAUUAGUAUCUGAUAUCUUUUUUCUUAACUGGUUCUUCUCUUGGCAAAUAUAUUUUUUCUGGAUGUGUUUAUGUUAGGCUGAAUUGCUUGAACCAGCUGUGAAAGGAACACUUAGUGUUCUAAAUUCCUGUGCAAAAUAUCCAUCUAUAAAGAGAGUGGUCUUGACAUCUUCAUUGGCAGCAGUUGUAUGCAAUGGGAAACCACUAAGUCCUGAUGUAGUAGUUGAUGAAACUUGGUUUUCUGAUCCAGAUUUUUGUAAGAAUUUCAAGGAACAGGUUAUGGGAGAACAUGGAUACAGUAUAGAGCACAUUUUAAUGGUUGAUAUUAUAUACUUGAUCCAGUAGUUCGCAAAGCUUUGAAUGAGAAUGCAGAGAAGGUGUGAUUGCAGUCAAGGAGCUGACAAAUUGCCCGAAUGUUUCUAACUUAGUUUUGUGUCAGCUCUAACAAUUUAGAACAUAUGCAAAGAGUUAUAUUAUUGCAGUUUCUUAUUAGUUUUGUUAAUGUACUAUGUAAACAAUUGUGAAAUGUCUUAUAGCUUUAUAC